rnacentral:rRNA from 1 species
GACGGCCCAGACUCCUACGGGAGGCAGCAGUAGGGAAUCUUCCGCAAUGGACGAAAGUCUGAUGGAGCAACGCCGCGUGAACGAAGAAGGCCUUCGGGUCGUAAAGUUCUGUUGUUAGGGAAGAACAAGUACCAGAGUAACUGCUCGUACCUUGACGGUACCUUAUUAGAAAGCCACGGCUAACUACGUGCCAGCAGCCGCGGUAAUACGUAGGUGGCAAGCGUUGUCCGGAAUUAUUGGGCGUAAAGCGCGCGCAGGCGGUUCUUUAAGUCUGAUGUGAAAGCCCACGGCUCAACCGUGGAGGGUCAUUGGAAACUGGAGAACUUGAGUACAGAAGAGGAAAGCGGAAUUCCACGUGUAGCGGUGAAAUGCGUAGAGAUGUGGAGGAACACCAGUGGCGAAGGCGGCUUUCUGGUCUGUAACUGACGCUGAGGCGCGAAAGCGUGGGGAGCAAACAGGAUUAGAUACCCUGGUAGUCCACGCCGUAAACGAUGAGUGCUAAGUGUUAGGGGGUUUCCGCCCCUUAGUGCUGCAGCUAACGCAUUAAGCACUCCGCCUGGGGAGUACGGCCGCAAGGCUGAAACUCAAAGGAAUGACGGA